rnacentral:rRNA from 1 species
AGAGAGAAGCUUGCUUCUCUUGAGAGCGGCGGACGGGUGAGUAAUGCCUAGGUAAUCUGCCUGGUAGUGGGGGAUAACGUUCGGAAACGGACGCUAAUACCGCAUACGUCCUACGGGAGAAAGCAGGGGACCUUCGGGCCUUGCGCUAUCAGAUGAGCCUAGGUCGGAUUAGCUAGUUGGUGAGGUAAUGGCUCACCAAGGCGACGAUCCGUAACUGGUCUGAGAGGAUGAUCAGUCACACUGGAACUGAGACACGGUCCAGACUCCUACGGGAGGCAGCAGUGGGGAAUAUUGGACAAUGGGCGAAAGCCUGAUCCAGCCAUGCCGCGUGUGUGAAGAAGGUCUUCGGAUUGUAAAGCACUUUAAGUUGGGAGGAAGGGUUGUAGAUUAAUACUCUGCAAUUUUGACGUUACCGACAGAAUAAGCACCGGCUAACUCUGUGCCAGCAGCCGCGGUAAUACAGAGGGUGCAAGCGUUAAUCGGAAUUACUGGGCGUAAAGCGCGCGUAGGUGGUUUGUUAAGUUGGAUGUGAAAUCCCCGGGCUCAACCUGGGAACUGCAUUCAAAACUGACUGACUAGAGUGUGGUAGAGGGUGGUGGAAUUUCCUGUGUAGCGGUGAAAUGCGUAGAUAUAGGAAGGAACACCAGUGGCGAAGGCGACCACCUGGACCAACACUGACACUGAGGUGCGAAAGCGUGGGGAGCAAACAGGAUUAGAUA